GUCGAGCGCGGGAAGCGAGUGGAUCCCUUCGGGGUGAAGCUCGUGCGAACGAGCGGCGGACGGGUGAGUAACACGUGGGCAACCUGCCUGUAAGACCGGAAUAACCCCGGGAAACCGGGGCUAAUGCCGGGUAAUACUUUUCUUCGCAUGAAGGAAAGUUGAAAGAUGGCUUCUUGCUAUCACUUACAGAUGGGCCCGCGGCGCAUUAGCUAGUUGGUGAGGUAACGGCUCACCAAGGCGACGAUGCGUAGCCGACCUGAGAGGGUGAUCGGCCACACUGGGACUGAGACACGGCCCAGACUCCUACGGGAGGCAGCAGUAGGGAAUCUUCCGCAAUGGACGAAAGUCUGACGGAGCAACGCCGCGUGAACGAUGAAGGUCUUCGGAUCGUAAAGUUCUGUUGUUAGGGAAGAACAAGUACCGUGCGAAUAGAGCGGUACCUUGACGGUACCUAACGAGGAAGCCCCGGCUAACUACGUGCCAGCAGCCGCGGUAAUACGUAGGGGGCAAGCGUUGUCCGGAAUUAUUGGGCGUAAAGCGCGCGCAGGCGGUUCCUUAAGUCUGAUGUGAAAGCCCACGGCUCAACCGUGGAGGGUCAUUGGAAACUGGGGAACUUGAGGACAGAAGAGGAGAGUGGAAUUCCACGUGUAGCGGUGAAAUGCGUAGAUAUGUGGAGGAACACCAGUGGCGAAGGCGACUC
rnacentral:rRNA from 1 species